AGUGCAGAACAAUCCACAUCCCCUCUGGACUCCUACUGAAAGAGUCUCUCUCUUUCACCACAAGGCGAGUUGAAAAACAAGAGGAUAGGUGGAGAGAUGAAGCCAGUUUGUCCUGGACUCCUACUGAAAGAGUCUCUCUCUUUCACCACAAGGCAAGUUGAAAAACACCCAAGAGGAUAGGUGGAGAGAUGAAGCCAGUUUUUCCUGGGCUCCUACUGAAAGAGUCUCUCUCUUUCACCGCAAGGCAAGUUGAAAAACACCCAAGAGGAUAGGUGGAGAGAUGAAGCCAGUUUGUCCUGGGCUCCUACUGAAAGAGUCUCUCUCUUUCACCACAAGGCGAGUUGAAAAACAUCCAAGAGGAUAGGUGGAGAGAUGAAGCCAGUUUGUCCUGGGCUCCUACUGAAAGAGUCUCUCUCUUUCACCGCAAGGCAAGUUGAAAAACACCCAAGAGGAUAGGUGGAGAGAUGAAGCCAGUUUGUCCUGGGCUCCUACUGAAAGAGUCUCUCUCUUUCACCGCAAGGCAAGUUGAAAAACACCCAAGAGGAUAGGUGGAGAGAUGAAGCCAGUUUGUCCUGGGCUCCUACUGAAAGAGUCUCUCUCUUUCACCGCAAGGCAAGUUGAAAAACACCCAAGAGGAUAGGUGGAGAGAUGAAGCCAGUUUGUCCUGGGCUCCUACUGAAAGAGUCUCUCUCUUUCACCACAAGGAAAGUUGAAAAACACCCAAGAGGAUAGGUGGAGAGAUGAAGCCAGUUUGUCCUGGGCUCCUACUGAAAGAGUCUCUCUCUUUCACCGCAAGGAAAGUUGAAAAACACCCAAGAGGAUAGGUGGAGAGAUGAAGCCAGUUUGUCCUGGGCUCCUACUGAAAGAGUCUCUCUCUUUCACCGCAAGGCAAGUUGAAAAACACCCAAGAGGAUAGGUGGAGAGAUGAAGCCAGUUUGUCCUGGACUCCUACUAAAAGAGGCUCUCUCUGUCAGCGAGAGAACGAGGACUGACCCUGGUCCACAGUGGAUCUGUUCCUAAACAGCCAUUGCACUAAUGGCUUUUUGAAGGUGUUACAAACAGCUUCAAGUCAAAUUUAGGCACUGAAAAACGGACAUAAUACUUGUAUACCACCUACUCUACACAGCAGGACAUUACCUGGCUUCCCUUCUCUACCUCUCUUAUUCCUGUAAAGUAAAUACCUGCAUUACAGAUCUGAGCAAUCCAGUCCCUGUCCAUAUUCCCGAAAACAUCUGAAACCCUCAUCAAAGAGUAUCUUAAAUAAUCCCUCAGUACCCAUAUUUGCGCAUAAUGGCAUUUCCACCGACAUUUCCCACAUAAUACAUUUUACAGACACAAACAGAUCCCACCAUAUAGAACGAACUAAUGAUCUGUUGGCAUUUAUAUAAUUACACUGAAACUUCCUGUUUCCAUCACAGCUGUUUUUUUUAAUACGAUAUGACUUCCCUCACAUAAAAACUGUGGUUGGAAAUGUGGUUUAUGACUGAGAUAUGUGAUUGUCCCACCUAGCUAUCUUAAGAUGAAUGCACUAACUGUAAGUCGCUCUGGAUAGCCUAAAUUACUCAAAUGCUAAAUACACACACCCAUGGUUGGUACACCGUUUUCCUACCAGACCAGGGGAGGCAGUCAUUUUUAUUUAUUUAUUUUUAUUUCACCUUUACUUAACCAGGUAGGCCAGGUGAGAACAAGUUCUCAUUUACAACUGCGACCUGGCCAAGAUAAAGCAAAGCAGUGCGACAAAAACAACAACACAGAGUUACAAAUGGGAUAAACAAACAUACAGUCAAUAACACAAUAGAAAAAUAUAUGUACAGUGUGUGCAAAUGUAGUAAGAUUAGUGAGGUAAGACAAUAAAUAGGCCAUAGUGGCAAAAUAAUUACAAUUUAGCAUUAACACUGGAGUGACAGAUGUGCAGAUGAUGAUGUGCAAGUAGAGAUACUGGGGUGUAAAAGAGCAAGAAAAAUAAAUAACAAUAUGGGGAUGAGGUCGUUGGGUGGUCUAUUUACAGAUGGCCUGUGUACAGGUGCAGUAAUUGGUAAGCUGCUCUGACAGCUAAUGCUUAAAGUUAGUGAGGGAGAUAUAAGUCUCCAGCUUCAGUGAUUUUUGCAAUUAAUUCCAGUCAUUGGCAGCAGAGAACUGGAAGGAAAGGCGGCCAAAGGAGGUGUUGGCUUUGGGGAUGACCAGUGAAAUAUACCUACUGGAGCGUGUACGGGUGGGUGUUGCUAUGGUGAUGUCUUUUUAAAAUUUAUUUUUCAUUUUUUAUGGUGAUGUUUUGUUGAGCUGCUAUAAGGCCAGGCCUGGGGGCCUGCAGUAGCCAGAUCUCAGAGAUAAUCGACCAGCUCAGUGGUCCCCUCCCCAGCCCUCCCUCCCCCUGUCCCUGAUCCUGUACAGUAAUAACUGUACUCAUGUCAGGGAGGUAAUUUGCUGCAAAAGGUGACAAAUUUCACUGUUGCUCCACUAAGUGAUUCAUGCUCGGUUGUGGUUCCUGUUUGGCCCUGUCCGGGGGUGUCCUCGGAUGGGGCCACAGUGUCUCCUGACCCCUCCUGUCUCAGCCUCCAGUAUUUAUGCUGCAGUAGUUUAUGUGUCGGGGGGCUAGGGUCAGUUUGUUAUAUCUGGAGUACUUCUCCUGUCCUAUUCGGUGUCCUGUGUGAAUCUAAGUGUGCGUUCUCUAAUUCUCUCCUUCUCUCUUUCUUUCUCUCUCUCGGAGGACCUGAGCCCUAGGACCAUGCCCCAGGACUACCUGACAUGAUGACUCCUUGCUGUCCCCAGUCCACCUGGCCAUGCUGCUGCUCCAGUUUCAACUGGCCUGGGCCCUAGGACCAUGUCCCAGGACUACCUGACAUGAUGACUCCUUGCUGUCCCCAGUCCACCUGGCCAUGCUGCUGCUCCAGUUUCAACUGUUCUGCCUUACUAUUAUUCAACCAUGCUGGUCAUUUAUGAACAUUUGAACAUCUUGGCCACGUUCUGUUAUAAUCUCCACCCGGCACAGCCAGAAGAGGACUGGCCACCCCACAUAUGCUCUCUCUAAUUCUCUCUUUCUUUCUCUCUCUCGGAGGACCUGAGCCCUAGGACCAUGCCCCAGGACUACCUGACAUGAUGACUCCUUGCUGUCCCCAGUCCACCUGGCCAUGCUGCUGCUCCAGUUUCAACUGGCCUGGGCCCUAGGACCAUGUCCCAGGACUACCUGACAUGAUGACUCCUUGCUGUCCCCAGUCCACCUGGCCAUGCUGCUGCUCCAGUUUCAACUGUUCUGCCUUACUAUUAUUCAACCAUGCUGGACCUGAGCCCUAGGACCGUGCCCCAGGACUACCUGACAUGAUGGCUCCUUGCUGUUCCCAGUCCACCUGACUGUGCUGCUGCUCCAGUUUCAACUGUUCUGCCUUAUUAUUAUUCGACCAUGCUGGUCAUUUAUGAACAUUUGAACAUCUUGGUCAUGUUCUGUUAUAAUCUCUACCCGGCACAGCCAGAAGAGAGGCCACCCCACAUAGCCCGGUUCCUCUCUAGGUUUCUUCCUAGGUUUUGGCCUUUCUAGGGAGUUUUUCCUAGCCACCGUGCUUUUACACCUGCAUUGUUUGCUGUUUGGGGUUUUAGGCUGGGUUUCUGUACAGCACUUUGAGAUAUCAGCUGAUGUACGAAGGGCUAUAUAAAUAAAUUUGAUUUGAUUUUAUUUGAUUUUGGUUCGCUGCCCUGUUGUUACUGUGGCACCCAGGUGGAUCUGGGUUCUCCUGCAGAUAUACUUCCUUCCCAGCUUUAACUUGACCUUUAACCAAUGGGAGGAAAGGGAGGAUUCUGAUGGGGCAUUUGGACUAGAUAGUCUACCCUAAGACAAAGCUCUUGGGUUUGCGGCCAUGAUUAUGUCCACAUUAAAUUGACAAAUGCUAGAUAAUAUAUGUUCCCAAUACAUGGUCUGUCAUGCAGUAUGUUUCCAACCUAUCUCAGUUGUAGCCUAAUAGUCUAUUAUGCAACGGGUGGUUUGGAAUUCCCAUUGUUCAUCUGUCCUGCCCAUACUACACAACACACACAUUGCCAGUACAUUCAUGAAAAAUGCCAUUGUUACUGAGCAAUGUGCUACUACUACUACUACUACUACUACUACUACUACUACUACAACAACUAUGUAGACAGAUCCACUGCCCAGCCAUGCAAUUUAUAAACUUUAGAUCUCUACGGUGUUCCUUAGUAAUGAAGGUGUCGGGAGUCGGGACAAGACAGACAGGCAGCUUUUCUCAGUCAGUCGAAAUCAUGAAUAAGCAUAAUUUUUAUUGAUAUUUUUCAAAGAAAUGUCAAUAGAAAAACAGGUUAAACGAAACAAAAUUCAGCUAGUUUUCUAUCUUUCCAGCUUCAGUCUGAAGUGAUGGUGUUAGCUGUGUAAUAGGCAAGCUAGCAAGGUGGGUAGAGCUUCCAUAGCAACCUGAAAAGUUGUGGAACUAUCAACCAGCACUUUACAUGGCAGUCAAUAGUCAAUACUAAUAGAACUAACAACCAGAGAACGCCUAAAAUUGCACUUGACAACCAUUGUUAGUGAAUGUAG